UACGUAGGGUGCGAGCGUUAAUCGGAAUUACUGGGCGUAAAGCGUGCGCAGGCGGUUCGUUGUGUCGGCGGUGAAAGCCCCGGGCUUAACCUGGGAAUGGCCGUUGAAACUGGCGAACUGGAGUGUGGCAGAGGGGGGUGGAAUUCCGCGUGUAGCAGUGAAAUGCGUAGAGAUGCGGAGGAACACCGAUGGCGAAGGCAGCCCCCUGGGCUGACACUGACGCUCAGGCACUAAAGCGUGGGGAGCAAACAGG
rnacentral:rRNA from 1 species